UGCCCAGCAACUCCUAUCCCUACCUCCUCGUGGUACCGGCCGGAAACUAUGAGCAACCUUAGGGAAGAUCGGGUAACCAAUCCCGGUGGGAACUUUGGUCAUAGGCUGACAGGGAAGG
rnacentral:ribozyme from 1 species